rnacentral:rRNA from 1 species
UACGUAGGGGGCAAGCGUUGUUCGGAUUUACUGGGCGUAAAGGGCACGUAGGCGGCGCGACAAGUCACUUGUGAAAUCUCCGGGCUUAACUCGGAACGGUCAAGUGAAACUGUCAUGCUAGAGUGCAGAAGGGGCAAUCGGAAUUCUUGGUGUAGCGGUGAAAUGCGUAGAUAUCGGAAGGAACAUCAGUGGCGAAAGCGACUUCCUGGACCAAUACUGACGCUCAUGUGCGAAAGCGUGGGGAGCAAACAGG